rnacentral:rRNA from 3 species
GGGUUGUGAGGUUAAGCGACUAAGCGUACACGGUGGAUGCCCUGGCAGUCAGAGGCGAUGAAGGACGUGCUAAUCUGCGAUAAGCGCCGGUAAGGUGAUAUGAACCGUUAUAACCGGCGAUUUCCGAAUGGGGAAACCCAGUGUGACUCGUCACACUAUCAUUAACUGAAUCCAUAGGUUAAUGAGGCGAACCGGGGGAACUGAAACAUCUAAGUACCCCGAGGAAAAGAAAUCAACCGAGAUUCCCCCAGUAGCGGCGAGCGAACGGGGAGGAGCCCAGAGCCUGAAUCAGCAUGUGUGUUAGUGGAAGCGUCUGGAAAGGCGCGCGAUACAGGGUGACAGCCCCGUACACAAAAGCGCAUGUGCUGUGAGCUCGAUGAGUAGGGCGGGACACGUGGUAUCCUGUCUGAAUAUGGGGGGACCAUCCUCCAAGGCUAAAUACUCCUGACUGACCGAUAGUGAACCAGUACCGUGAGGGAAAGGCGAAAAGAACCCCGGCGAGGGGAGUGAAAAAGAACCUGAAACCGUGUACGUACAAGCAGUGGGAGCACAGGUUUACCUGUGUGACUGCGUACCUUUUGUAUAAUGGGUCAGCGACUUAUAUUCUGUAGCAAGGUUAACCGAAUAGGGGAGCCG